rnacentral:rRNA from 1 species
UCGGCGGACGGGUGAGUAACACGUGGGCAACCUGCCUCAUAGAGGGGAAUAGCCUUCCGAAAGGGAGAUUAAUACCGCAUAAGACCACAGUACUGCAUGGUACAGUGGUAAAAACUCCGGUGGUAUGAGAUGGACCCGCGUCUGAUUAGGUAGUUGGUGAGGUAACGGCCCACCAAGCCGACGAUCAGUAGCCGACCUGAGAGGGUGACCGGCCACAUUGGGACUGAGACACGGCCCAGACUCCUACGGGAGGCAGCAUG